GGCUCAAUGGUCUAGUGGUAUGAUUCGUGCUUCGGGAUAAGGACAGGUUCCUCCCGUGCUUGGAAACAAGUAUCGAGAAUGUGCGAGGUCUCGGGUUCGAUCCCCGAUUGAGCCC